rnacentral:rRNA from 1 species
UACCAGCACCCCGAGUGGUCGGGACGUUUAUUGGGCCUAAAGCAUCCGUAGCCGGUUCUACAAGUCUUCCGUUAAAUCCAACUGCUUAACAGGUGGGCUGCGGAAGAUACUAUAGAGCUAGGAGGCGGGAGAGGCAAGCGGUACUCGAUGGGUAGGGGUAAAAUCCGUUGAUCCAUUGAAGACCACCAGUGGCGAAGGCGGGUCUCUGGGCAGUAACUGACGCUGAGGAGCGAAAGCGUGGGGAGCAAACAGG